AUUGCUUCGGCAAUAUAUACUAAAAUUGGAACGAUACAGAGAAGAUAGCAUGGCCCCUGCGCAAGGAUGACACGCAAAAUUCUCUCUCCUUAUCAGUAUCUU